rnacentral:lncRNA from 1 species
UACCCUGCCUGUCAUUGUUAAAUAUAAUUUGAUAAAUUUAUAAACUUACCCUCAAUCCCAUGUAUUGGAUCCUCGGGGUCAAAAAUAGCCGAGUUAUAUGGCUCUUCAUCCCUUUUCAUGUUUGGAACACCACCUACAUAAAAUAUUUACAAAUAUCAUGAUGACAAAAGCUUUAGUUGUAUGGAGAACAAGUAUUUUGUGGUUCAAACCUUGUCUGAUUUUAAUAUUUGUAUUGAGAAAAUAUUUCCUAUCACCAUUGUUCUUUAUGGAAGCUAAAGGUUGUGGUUGCUGCUGAACUUGCAUUUGACGUUCGAAUUUUUUAGCAAGUGUCCCAUCGUGCUUAUGGUCUACAUUUUGCUCCCUCAUAACAAUACUGUUACCAGCUGCUUGGGUUCUUUUUCUCUGUCGAUAUUAUCGUUGGUACUCAUAAUUCCUUGUGCAUAGUUCCUCUUUCUUCAAAUCAAUUGUCUCUAAAGUUCCAAUGCCAACAUUCUGGUUAAGAUUCUGCUCCCUCGUAUUUUCACCGGCUGCUUUGUUUCUUUUUUCUCUUGAUAUCGUCGUUGGUACUCACGAUUCAUUGCGCGUAGUUCCUCUUUGUUCUGAUCAAUGGCCAUCAAUACUGCAUAUGACAAAAGCUUUAGUUGUAUGGAGAACAAGUAUUUUGUGGUUCAAACCUUGUCUGAUUUUAAUAUUUGUAUUGAGAAAAUAUUUCCUAUCACCAUUGUUCUUUAUUGAAGCUAAAGGUUGUGGUUGCUGCUGAACUUGCAUUUGACG